AUUGAACGCUGGCGGCAGGCCUAACACAUGCAAGUCGGACGGUAGCACAGAGGAGCUUGCUCCUUGGGUGACGAGUGGCGGACGGGUGAGUAAUGUCUGGGAUCUGCCCGAUAGAGGAGGAUAACCACUGGAAACGGUGGCUAAUACCGCAUAACGUCGCAAGACCAAAGAGGGGGAACUUCGGGCCUCUCACUAUCGGAUGAACCCAGAUGGGAUUAGCUAGUAGGCGGGGUAAUGGCCCACCUAGGCGACGAUCCCUAGCUGGUCUGAGAGGAUGACCAGCCACACUGGAACUGAGACACGGUCCAGACUCCUACGGGAGGCAGCAGUGGGGAAUAUUGCACAAUGGGCGCAAGCCUGAUGCAGCCAUGCCGCGUGUAUGAAGAAGGCCUUCGGGUUGUAAAGUACUUUCAGCGGGGAGGAAGGCGGUGAGGUUAAUAACCUCGCCGAUUGACGUUACCCGCAGAAGAAGCACCGGCUAACUCCGUGCCAGCCGCCGCCGUAA
rnacentral:rRNA from 1 species